rnacentral:lncRNA from 1 species
UUGGGAUGCGCAGGGGUUUCAUACAUGCAUUUUAAAAAUUUUUUAGUGAAAGAAUAUUAGAUUAAACUAUUUAAUCUAUAAAUACAUGCAUAAGAUCAUAUCUUAAAAUUACUAUAAAUAGAUCGAUGAUAUAAAUUUAUAUAUAUAAAAAUUUGAAUCUAAAAUGAAAAGCAUGUGAACCAAAAAUAGUAUUUAGUAAUAGAUCUAAUCUACCACUUCUAGAUUUUUGAACUCAAUACCUUAGCA